rnacentral:piRNA from 1 species
UUCCUCUACCUUCCAAGAGACCUGCCA